rnacentral:lncRNA from 1 species
GUGAAAAGUAUAACAAGUCGGCGGGAGGCGGCGAGCUGCAGCGCGCUGUAGGGGCAGAGCCGCAGGCAGGCGGUGAGGUUCCCCUUCCACAGGGCCCGCACGCCCUCGGUGCGGCACAGGCUGCGCCCGGCGCCGAGCAGUCCCCGCCCGCAGUGCCAGGUGCCCACCUGCGCCAGCACCGUCAGCAGCUCCAGCGGCGCGGUCAGGCUGAGGCUCAGCGCGCCCGCCAGCCCCG